rnacentral:tRNA from 2 species
GGUCAGAUAGCUCAGUUGGUAGAGCACGGCCCUGAAAAGGCCGGUGUCCGCGGUUCGAGCCCGCGUCUGACCAC